UACGUAGGGUGCAAGCGUUGUCCGGAAUUAUUGGGCGUAAAGGGCUCGUAGGCGGUCCAUCGCGUCGGGAGUGAAAAGCUGGGGCUUAACCCCAGUCCUGCUUUCGAUACGGGUGGACUAGAGGUAGGUAGGGGAGAUCGGAAUUCCUGGUGUAGCGGUGAAAUGCGCAGAUAUCAGGAGGAACACCGGUGGCGAAGGCGGAUCUCUGGGCCUUACCUGACGCUGAGGAGCGAAAGCAUGGGGAGCAAACAGG
rnacentral:rRNA from 1 species